AUGUGCAAUACCGGAAUGUCUGUGCCCACUGCCGAUGAUGCUGUUCCAAGUACCUCCCAAAUUCCUGCUUCAGAACAAGAGACCCUGGUUAGACCAAAACCAUUGCUUUUGAAGUUGUUAAAAUCUGUUGGUGCACAAAAAGACACCUAUACUAUGAAAGAGCCAAGCUACUCUGUAAAAGACCACAGGAAAAUCUAUACAAUUAUCUACAGAAAUUUGGUAGUAGUCAAUCAGCAGGAACCAUUGGAUUCUGGCACAUCUGUGAGUGAAAAUAGGUGUCAUCUUGAAGACAGGAGUGAUCAAAAGGACUCUGUGCAAGAGUUACAGGAAGAGAAACCAUCAUCUUUCAAUUUGAUUUCUAGACCAACUACCUCAUCUAGGAGGAGAGCAAGAAGUGAGACAGAACUAAAUUCAAAUGAACUGUCCAGUGAAGUACAAAGAAAGCGGCACAGAUCUGACAAUGUUUCCCUUUCCUUCGAUGAAAGUGUUGCACCGUGUGUCAUAAGGGAGAUAUGUUGUGAAAGAAGCAGCAGCAGUGAGUCAACAGAAACACCGUCAAAUCCGGAUCUUGAUGCUGGUGAAGGUGAACAUUCUACUAAUUGGUUAGAGCAGGAAUCAGUUUCAGAUCAAUUCAGUGCAGAAUUUGAAGUUUAAUCUAUUGAUUCAGAAGAUUAUAACCUUAGUGAAGAAGGACAGGAACUCUCGGAUGAAGAUGAUGAGGUUUAUCUAGUUACUGUGUAUCAAGCAGAAGAGACUGAUACAGAUUCAUUUGAAGAUGACCCUGAAAUUUCGUUAGCUGACUAUUGGAAAUGUACUUCAUGCAAUGAAAUUAAUCCCCCUCUCCCACCACAUUGUAAUAGAUGUUGGGCACUUCAUGAGAAUUGGUUUAAUGAAGAUAAAAGGAAAGACAAAGAGGAAAUGCUUGAGAGCAACAAACUAGAAAGCACAGCAUAGGAAGAAGAAGGUUUUGAUGUUCCUGAUUGUAAAAAGACUACAGUGACUGACUCCAAAGAGUCAGAUGUUGAGGAAAAUGAUGAUAACAUCACACAGGCCUCCCACUCUCAAGAAAGUGAGGACUAUUCCCAGCCAUCAACUUCCAGUAGCCUUUUGAGCAGCCAAGAUAUCAAAGAAUUUGAGAAGGAAGAGACCCAAAGCAAAGAAGAAAGUGUGAAAGUGACUUCUCGCCCUGUUGCCACUGAACCUUGUGCGAUUUGCCAAGAUCAACCUAAAAAUGAUUGCAUUGUUCAUGGCAAAACAGGACAUCUUAUGGAGUGUUUUACAUGUGCAAAGAAACUAAAAAAAAAAGAAGAAACAAGCCAAUUCAAAUGAUUGUGUUAACUUAUUUUCUCUAG